rnacentral:rRNA from 1 species
CCUACGGGUGGCAGCAGUGAGGAAUAUUGGUCAAUGGGAGCGAUCCUGAACCAGCCAAGUCGCGUGAGGGAAGACGGCCCUAUGGGUUGUAAACCUCUUUUGUCGGAGAGCAAAAGACGCGACGUGUCCCGGACUGCGAGUACCCGAAGAAAAAGCAUCGGCUAACUCCGUGCCAGCAGCCGCGGUAAUACGGAGGAUGCGAGCGUUAUCCGGAUUUAUUGGGUUUAAAGGGUGCGCAGGCGGUAGGUUAAGUCAGCGGUAAAAUUGAGGGGCUCAACCCCGUCGAGCCGUUGAAACUGGUUGACUUGAGUGAGCGAGAAGUAUGCGGAAUGCGUGGUGUAGCGGUGAAAUGCAUAGAUAUCGCGCAGAACUCCGAUUGCGAAGGCAGCGUACCGGCGCCAGACUGACGCUGAGGCACGAAAGCGUGGGGAUCGAACAGGAUUAGAUACCCUGGUAGUC